UACGUAGGGGGCAAGCGUUGUCCGGAAUCAUUGGGCGUAAAGCGCACGUAGGCGGCGCAGCAAGUCAGGGGUGAAAUCCUGGAGCUCAACUCCAGAACUGCCUUUGAUACUGGCGGCCUUGAGUCCGGGAGAGGUGAGUGGAACUGCGAGUGUAGAGGUGAAAUUCGUAGAUAUUCGCAAGAACACCAGUGGCGAAGGCGGGUCUCUGGACAGUUCCGUGACACUGAGGCACGAAGGCCAGGG
rnacentral:rRNA from 1 species